CAACCCUAGCGAUGGCCGCCACCCUCUCUCCCUUCUCUUCCCGACCUCGCCGCCACCGGAGCGGACCGCCGGACGAGCGCGCGGGGCGCUCGCUCUCGGUGCGGCUCCCCGUUGGAUGAUGGCCGGCGGCUCGGGUUUGGCGCGCGAGCGGCGCGUCGCGUGGAGGCCGGCGGCGCGUGCUGUGGCGGGGCGCCAAGGGACAGCGGCGGCGGCGCACGGAGGGACAUUAGCGACGGCGCAUCUGUGGCGGCACGGAGAGAACGCGGAGGGGUGCCGGUGCCUCUUGUAAUUCAUUGUCAAUUCUGGUAAGCUUGCAUCGGCACAAUUCCAGGUUUGAUUUAUAGAAAAAUCCGACCUCAUUCAUUCGAUCUAUAUUAAUUCGUUCCCAAUUUAAUUUGGUGAGUGCUGAUUGAAACGGAGAUUCCCAGUCCAUCAUUUCUAUGAAAGCAUACUUUUUGUAAAUAGACUAGCAAUUGUGAUUUAAUGACAGGCCAAAGCAAAACAUGUCCAUCAUGAUAUUAGGCUGGACAAAAGCAAGUAUACUAAAUUACUAAUGCAGCCAAGGUGAUCAAUUCCAUUUAUUUAUUCUAUGAAAAUUUAUAGAACUAUUGGGCAAAGUGCAUAUGUAAAGUAGCAUAAAUAACAGGGUGCGGAUCAACAAUCAUCUUCCUAUUCCUAUGUUACAAAUCAUGGAGAUUCACUUCACCGGGUAAAGAUUCUUCAUGCUACAUACAUAUUUUCAGAUUAUUAAGUAACCUGUUUUGACUUCUAAUUUGGUCCAGAACAAGAUGGUGGUCAUUGAUUUUUGUUAGAAUCAUUUAUGGUCCUGAUCCGGGCGAUUAAUAGAAACUGUGGUCAUGUAUUAUGCAAUUCAUCCGCUAGUUUAUUUUAGUAAGUUAGAGAUAAAUGCCUCACAUGAUGUGUUAGAAAUUAGCUCUCUGCGGCGACGAGCCGCACGCUAAUCCCCACGCAGCGGAACGACGAUUGAAUCUACCGAGACGAACUUGCAAGACCAUAGACGACACCGGAGGCACGAUCUUUGUUGACGAGGUUCGGCCAAAGCCUACAUCCCUGGGGCAUGACUACGGGCGCUCCUCCCCAAUUCUGGUCCCGACAGCAUCGUGCCGCCUCCCUCCUGCGAGCCUGUCGCCAUGGUUACAACAGCAGCCCUCCUCUCAUAUUUAUGAGGAGGUCCGGGUUACAGAGUUUGACACGAACUCUACCCUAUACUGCUGAAUACAACUCAAGUCCCAUCGUAACCGGACUCGUACAAAUAUUCGACACAUAUUCAACAUGAUGGGGAUAUUUCGCAAGCAGUAUAAUUGUAUUGUGCGCAUAUUUAUUCACAUGUUCAUAUAUGUACUAGGUUGGCACUAAAGUAUUCUUAAAGAGCUGGAAAAAUCAAAAUAAGGAUGUUGCUUUGGCUACAAUAGUAAGUUGUGAUCCAACACAGAAAAUUGAAGGUAUCCAGCUAGGCAAAGAAUUUUGGAUGGUGCGUGUCGGUAUUUCAUUUGCUGAUAAUGAACCACUGAUACGCCCAUACAAAAGUUACAGUGUCAUGGGAGAAGUUCAAGGAGUUAAUAUUGCCUGGCCUUGAACUUUUGUGGAGAAGAUAAAUGCAUGACUUCAUCUGUAGGCCUACAGCUUGGAGAAAUAGAGGGCUGGUGGAAUUCUUAGAGGACUCAUAUGUGUCUUUUUAAUUUAUUUUCGUACGGUGAUCUAUUUCUGUAAGAAACUAUAUCAUGAAUUACGUGGACGGUACUCAUUGUAUUGCAGCAGAACCUUUUUUAAUGAAUGACAAUUGACAGUGAGCUUAUUUCCCA